rnacentral:lncRNA from 1 species
AAGCUUCGCGRAUUGUCUUUUGCUCCAAGUUAUUUUUGGUGAUUUUUUUUUUUUUUUAGUGUUUUUUCGGCGGAGCGCUAGUGGUACUAUACUUUCAGACAGGUUAUCCCGUCUCUCCCGCUAGAUUGAUGAGAUCAGGCAUC